AGAGAUAAUUAAGCUGUAGUACCUGAAAGGGCCUGAUGCCUCUGAUCUCAGAAGCUAAGCAGGGCUGGGCCUGGCUAGCACUUGGAUGGGCGACAACUCCUGGGCUCAAGUAAUCCUCCGUC
rnacentral:rRNA from 1 species